CUUAGUCAAUGGUUUUCCUUCCCUUCUUAAUUGAUAAGGAAUAAGCAAUUCCGUUUCGAAAGAAAAAAAAUAAAAACAAAUGGAAAAUAACUAGCUGUAAGGUUGAGAUAGUUAAUAAGAAUAAUAAAGUUUAAUAAUUGGGUGAAAUAAAUUCAAGACAAUAGAUUUUCAGAGUAUCAGUUCAAGAGUGAUAAUCAAAGGGAGUGAUCAAUCAAGAGAGUCAUUAAAUUAAAGAGAGUGAUAAUUCAUUUGAGAGAUACAUUUUAAAGAGAGUUAUAUCCUCUAUUUACCAUUAAGAUUAUAUUUGUUUCCAUAUCUCAACUAACUCACAGCUAUGGAUUUAACAUCCUACAAUCAGAUUUUGAUGGGUAUAAUAUAUGGUAAUUAAGAGCCUAUCAUUAAAUAAAUUACACCGACUUUUACCAAAGUUGUUCCAGGUGUAGCUCUUCUCUGAUAAAUGAUUUUCAAUUUAUUCACAUUUCCUAGAAUUGGUAAAUUAAAAUUAUGCUGACACGUGUACAUGGGCAUUUAUAUUAGUCUUUGGAAAUAGAUAAAUGUAAUCAUAUGAUCCUUAUUCCAGGCAUUAUGGAAAAUCACUCAAUUUAGUUAGUUUGUGUAUAUAUUUUUUCUGGUAAAUUGACCAUGUCUUAGUUUCAAAGUUUAUAAAUAUAAAUGACUUUAAAACAUCUGAUAUGUCAUUAAUUCUCAAGAUUUUAAAAUAGAUUCUCAAUUGGGUACCAACA